AGUGAACGCUGGCGGUAGGCCUAACACAUGCAAGUCGAACGGCAGCACAGUAAGAGCUUGCUCUUACGGGUGGCGAGAGGAGGACGGGUGAGGAAUAGAUCGGAAUCUACUUUUUCGUGGGGGGUAACGAAGGGAAACUUACGCUAAUACCGCAUACGAUCUACGGGUGAAAGCAGGGGAUCUUAGGACUUUGCGCGAGUGAAUGAGGAGAUGACGUAUCAGCUGCUUGGCGGGGUAAAGGCCGACCAAGGCGACGAUACGUAGCUGGUCUGAGAGGAUGAUGAGCCACACUAUCACUAGCACACGCCCCAGACUCCUACGGAUGUCACCAGUGGGGUAUAUUGGACAGUGUGUGCAAGCCUGAUGCAGCAAAACCGCGAGUGUGAAGAGGGCCUUCGGGUUGUAAAGCCCUUUUGUUGGGAAAGAAACGCAGCAUAUUAAUCCCCCGCUGGUCUGACGGUACCCAAAGAAUAAGCACCGGCUAACUUCGUG
rnacentral:rRNA from 1 species